UAUUCCGUCUGCAUAUGUCUUGUAUUGGAAUGAUGGGAAUUUAAACCUCUUCCAGAGUAUCAAUUGGAGGGCAAGUCUGGUGCCAGCAGCCGCGGUAAUUCCAGCUCCAAUAGCGUAUAUUAAAAUUGUUGCAGUUAAAAAGCUCGUAGUUGAAUUUCUGCUGCAUUGCAUCUUCUUUUUGAUGAGUUGGUGUAUUGUGGCUUAUUUCGGAUGAUACUUGUAUUAUCCGGAUGAUUACUUUGAGAAAAUUAGAGUGCUCAAAGCAGGCUUUUGCCUUGAAUAGUUUAGCAUGGAAUAAUAAAGUAGGACUUUGGUUCUAUUUUGUUGGUUUUAGGUACCAAAGUAAUGGUUAAUAGGAGCAGUUGGGAGA
rnacentral:rRNA from 1 species